CCUACGGGAGGCAGCAGUAAGGAAUAUUGGACAAUGGACGCAAGUCUGAUCCAGCCAUGCCGCGUGAAGGAUUAAGGUCCUCUGGAUUGUAAACUUCUUUUAUAAGGGACGAAAAAAGGUCUUUCUAGAUCGUCUGACGGUACCUUAUGAAUAAGCACCGGCUAACUCCGUGCCAGCAGCCGCGGUAAU
rnacentral:rRNA from 1 species